UGAUCAUAUUCUGAGACCUGCGCAGUGCAGCUAGCUUGGACUAGGCUAGACUUCCCUUGUGCACUCAUUGCGCCGCGCGCCGUCCACCGGGAAAGACGUGCUGGUCUUUGGAGCCUCCAAGAAGCUGUUCACUGGAGCCCUAUCUCUUCAGGUCCUGAGAGCUGCAGGUUCCUGAUGGAGGUACAGCCUGCAGUCAUCAGCUCAAGAUGUCUCGAGCCGCCAUCAGGGUACCAGCAUAGCCAGCUCACCAGAACUCAAGCCUUCCUGCCACGGGUUCCUGGUGGACAACCUCAUCACUCCUCUCUGAACAUUUGAUGUCGCAGCCUGCAUCCUGAUCUCCAUCAGACUUCCCUGGGGUGUAAGUGGCUCCACCACCGCCUUGCGAGCCAAAGCCAACCUCACCUGCCCGCGGUGCACCCUGCUGACUCACGGACGAGGCUCUGGCGCCCCUUGGGAGGCGGAGAUGAUGAGGAUCCUCUCAGCUUCUCAUGGGCUAUUAUGGACUGCGGCUGCUUCUCCGUCGCAGACGCGGUACAUAGUACCAGUUACCAAUAAAACAGAAAGUGCCAGAGGGUUAAAAGUUGAUUUCUAAGUUAAGACUAUUUGUAUAAUAAAUAAAAAUGUAAAUAUAGGAUAAUAAAA